rnacentral:misc_RNA from 1 species
AAGCAGUUGACAUUUCAUGGUCUUUAAUUAAUAACUUCAUCUUUCCCAAUGUUGCAUGAGCACCUACUAUGAUUCAAGCAUUGGAACUGGAUGGAUAGGAGUUGAAAAGGGCCAUUAUAUUAUUCAAUGAUAGACCCAUUCCAGGAAACUCUGACUCGGAAUUAUGGUAGACCAAAACGCCUGUUUUCCCAUAAAUCAUGCAAGAAUCAGCCCAAGUCAUGACCAAGAAACUGGGAAGCCCUGAAAUUGGAGGGCACAGCAGCGCAGCAUGCCAAUAACGCAAUCACAAAAAUCGAAGAAGAAAGCUUUUGAAUAUGUUGGUUAGAAUAAGUAUUCUGUCUUUCCCCAUGGUAAUUGGAGCCGUAGUGUGAGUUUCCUAUCUUUAUCUCCUCUUUCAUUUUCCCUGUUUUUAUUUCUUUCUUUCUAGUUUCUCUCUUUGCGCUGAUGCUAUCAUUUGAAUCUUCUUACAAUUUGUAAUAUCAUUUUACAUAUUAAUGUUUUCCUCUUCAUUGUGAACUGGGGUUUUCAAUUGUAAGAUUGUUCAACUUAUUUUGCUUUUAGAUUUGGUCCAGCUUCAUGCCUAUUCAUACGAGCAAUAUUUAUCCUAGGCUAUUAAGCAAAUUAUAGAGUAAUUUUGCAGAUUUUUGAGGACCCAUCACCUCAAAGUAAGCAAAUGCUGAUCAAUUUAGUUUCUCUACAUUAAAAUUUGCAAUCAAUAUAAAUUUUUGUUUGAAGCAUCUGUAAAAUUUCAAAGAGUUACACAAUCUUGUUGCAUUAUUUGUAAUUUCAUUUUUCCCCUUUUACAUUUCCUUUCACAUUGUUAGUGAUUUUGUAAGAAAUAGAUAUUAAAUUACCUAUCAUCUAAAGAACCCAAUACUGUAAACUUAAUUGAUGUUUAUAAGUUAAAGAUGGUGGACAUGAAUAGGGAAGUGAAGAGCUUCAGUUUGAUGUAUACUGGUAGUAUAUAUCAUGAGUAGCUGUUAAUGGAUCACAGCUUAUUAGUCCCAAAGUAUGAACUUAACUAGAACCCUUUCUGGUCUGCUACGAUUAGACAUGCCUUUGAGCAACACGGAAUAAUUCAUAGGCAAUGUUAAAGUUUUCAAAUUGAAAUAUUUUUUUUCUCUUUUCUAUUGGUUUGCAUUUGGAUAGGUAGGCAUUUGAAAUGAAGGAUUUGAAGUUAAUAAUUUAGUUUCAGUGUUGAUAAUGUAUAAGUUUUCCUUGAUUAACUAGAUUCAACGAACAAAAACUAAAUUCACAAAUUUGUCUUUAACCUAUAUGAGCAUGAAUUUGAUAUAGCUUUAAAAAGUAGUAAUUUCAAAUCUACACUCUUAACACUUGGAUUAACCUUAUAUUUUUAUAUUCUUGUUAUAGAUCUAUCUUUUACUAUUUUACAUCACAUAGUUUGCACUAAAAACUCAAAUAAGUAUAAAAAUUUCACAUCUAUUUGUGCAAAUAGAGCCUUGAUUUUUGUAAACUGCUGGUACAAAUUCCAUUUUUAACCAAAGUGUUAACUCCAUCAGCACAUGUAAAGUUAUAUAUAUGUAUUGCACGUACCAUAAAUAGUCUUCCCUCAACUUUUCUCCCUUAUUGCUAAAAGCAUUAUGUCAAAACUUGUAGUUUCCUUUUCUAUCCUUUUUUGUCUUCCUAUUCAUUCAUGUUGUCUUCAUUUCAGCCUUGCUUAUCUCUAGAUAUGUUGUUUCUUUAUUGCAUGGUGUUCUUUGAUGUAGAGCUUGUCCUAUUGCGAUGUUAUAAAGUUUUUACCUCAACUUGAUACACAUUAUAUGAUAAUGUGACACAUCAUUAGUGCUCCUCCAUCUCCUCCAACUUGCUCUAAUUCUACAGUGUUGGCUUUAUCCACCAAAAGUAACUAUAAAUACAUAUUUCCUGUUCUAUAGGAGUGUAAGAUUGUUAUUGGCUUCAAAAUAAUGCAGCAUUUAGUUUUAUCCCUUUCAACCUAAUGAUAUCCUUCUGCCAAAUAUGAAUUUAUUUAUAACGAUGCAUUUUAACAGGAAAUGUGGAAGAAAUUUGAGGAAAAGGAGAUCAUGCAUACAAUAAUCUCUGUAAUUUUAUUUUCUUUGGAUUUUUUCCAUGUUUGGGUUUGGCGGAUUUUUUCCAUGUUUGGGUUUGGCAGAUUUUAGCUGUUACUUAUGCUUAUCUGAACUACCUCUGUUGUACGCAUUUUAUUAAAUGUUCUGCAUGAGGUGUGUGAAGAAUAUGUUAAUAGAGAAAAACAUUUCAUUUUAAGGAAUCUGAAAUAGAUGCGUUUAGAUAAAUAGUGCUUCCCCUUAAACACUCAAUUGAUGUGAUAUGUCAUGCAGGGUCUGAAAGAAAAAUAUGCGCGUAUCAUGCCUGUAAAGCUUUCUUAGGUUUUUAAUAUGCAAGGUAUUUUAUACAAAUCAUUUUUUAGUUUCUUUUUGGAAUUUAAUAGAGCUGAUCAGAUAUUUUAUCAAAGUAUAAGUGGUUAGCCCAUCUUGAUCGUAGGUCAAAAUUAGACAAGUAAUUUUUCCUGGGGAAAUUCUGCAUGCCACACUGGAAAAUCUUACAGAUUUCUAACAAUCAUGUAGUACACCUUGUUGGCUUCAUUUGAAAUUUCCAUCCAGCUUCUCUACUAGUACACCUUGUACAAUCUUCAAGCAGGAAUUUUCAAAUGUUUCAGGGCACUUGACCUGAUUUUACACUGACAUGUCAUAUUAUCUACUCUAGACUAUGUAAAUGAUUGUACAUGGAUUUGCAGAAUUGGAGUUGUUUCUGGAAAAGCAAUAUUUGGGCCCCCACUUGAUGAGUACUGGAAAAAGAAGCUUCAGGAGGAGGCAGCUGCAAAAGACACCGACACAAGCUCUACUUAGGAAAUGUGCUGAAUUUAUCACCAGUCCGCGGCAGUAGGCACUGGGAAGUGCGAAAUCGUCAUUUCCAGUUUGCUGACUGAAGAGGCAUACCAUGCAUAUUCGCUGCAUUCGAUACAAUAUAGAAUUUGGAUACAUCUCGGGGGUAUGGGGUCCCAGCUGCAUGCUUGGUAGGAUAGAAGGAACUCGGUUCAUUGCAUUAUUUGGAUGUUUUCUAGUCAAAGCAGAAAAAGCAUGGUGAAAAAAACCUUAUCUGCUGAAUGAUUUCCUGAGCGUCGCAUCCCAAUUAAUGUUGUUAUUGAAUUUGAAUUUUGAUAGUAUUACAAUGGUAGAAAGUGUUAAAAGUUUACCGAAUGCAGAACCUGAUCGACUAUUGCAUUUAUGUUUUAUUCAGAUCCUGAGACACCAAAGCUUUGUUUUCUAUUGAUCCUUUCUCCACCGUUUACAUUUUGGUUCUAUAUUAUGGUUUCAUCCCCUGGCAAUGACUGAUCCAAUCUAUUCAACCUUAGGAAACCA